rnacentral:rRNA from 1 species
GCUGAACGCUGGCGGCGUGCCUAAUACAUGCAAGUCGAGCGAACAGACGAGGAGCUUGCUCCUCUGACGUUAGCGGCGGACGGGUGAGUAACACGUGGAUAACCUACCUAUAAGACUGGGAUAACUUCGGGAAACCGGAGCUAAUACCGGAUAAUAUAUUGAACCGCAUGGUUCAAUAGUGAAAGACGGUUUUGCUGUCACUUAUAGAUGGAUCCGCGCCGCAUUAGCUAGUUGGUAAGGUAACGGCUUACCAAGGCGACGAUGCGUAGCCGACCUGAGAGGGUGAUCGGCCACACUGGAACUGAGACACGGUCCAGACUCCUACGGGAGGCAGCAGUAGGGAAUCUUCCGCAAUGGGCGAAAGCCUGACGGAGCAACGCCGCGUGAGUGAUGAAGGUCUUCGGAUCGUAAAACUCUGUUAUUAGGGAAGAACAAAUGUGUAAGUAACUAUGCACGUCUUGACGGUACCUAAUCAGAAAGCCACGGCUAACUACGUG